CCUCAAUUUGGAGCAAAGGGGAGACAUUGGUUUGAACAGUAUCCUGCCUCCUGAGCCUGCUGUCCAUGUGGAAAGAGGCUAUGGUUGGGACAAAGUGGGCCUAGGGAAGGUUGAGACUGGGGGGCAGCAGAGGGUCGGGCAAAGGGCCCACAUUCAGGGGUGCACCUUGAAGGUAGAGCCAGCAGGAUUUGUAGACAGCCUGGAUGAGCAGGGAGGAAAAGAGAUCCUCACAUGCAGAUGAGAAAAUUGGGGCACACGAUCUUAAGAAACUGGCUCUGGGCUCUGAGUCACCACAGCGGACUGUGUGCAAUUACGGCACCUGCCUGGCUAUGGCGGCCACCCAGAGAAGGCUGUCUAUUUCUUAUUUGCUGAUGUGGCCCCCUGUCUGUGAGAGGUAGGGUCCUGCUGCCUGUCCUGCUGCCUGACCCCACAGGCUACUGCAAACUACCGCCACCCAUGGGCCAGUCAUCCAGGGGGACCACAGCUGGAGGCUGAGUGGGGGUGUUUCUGGAGAAAAAAAGUAUGAGGGACGGAAAGCAGAGGCUAGUAUGUUUUUCAGGAAGGAAAUCUUCGCUGCUGUAACAGUCUGGGAGUCUCGGCCCGGCCUACAGUCCGGCCCAGCCAGGAAGCACCCCUCCCACUGCCCUCGGGUCGGAGGCAAACACUUUUGAGGACAGGAAGGGAAGAGGGCCUGAGGACCGCUGAUGCUCUAAGCUGCCCCUGCCCACCUCAAAGGGCACCAUGAUCUCAGCUGGACCACAGAGGAAAGCAAAGACCAGGAGAGCCGGUGACACAGUGAGUCAUCUUCCAGCGACUUGGAGAGCUGCUUCUCAUGGCAGUUGCCUGUAUGCUGUUGGAGUGAAGGUUCCUGGGGCCUGCUGUGUCAGAAUCUCCAAGGCCAGGUUGUCAGCCUUGGAAGGUAACAGAAGGGAGCCUGGCGUCUUCGAGCUUACGGGCGUCUAGGCCUUCACUCCACUCCAAGGAGCCAGCCUCACCGGAGCUCACAGGGCACAAGGAGUCGACUCAGGCCUGAGUUUUGCUUCCUCAGUGAUGUUCUCCGGAAUCAGAGAUUAUUGUAAUGGCCCUCCCUCACUUUGCGGGUGAUGUCAGACUAUAUGUACCUUAAAGCUUCCCACUGAGACGUGAAUGUUUGAACCUGUCCUCAUGCAUAUCACUUGGGUGAGGGGCCGGGAGCCCGGGCUAGGGGAGGGGGCACACCGAGCUGUGCUCUCUGAGCUGUGGUAACAAGGCUGGUAGAAGCCCGUUGAUGAUCUGCCAGCACGGGUCCAGGUCCUGUGCACCGAAGAGAACAGAGCCGAAGGAAGCUUACUCAACGUGUGUCAUACAGGGGUCCCUUUCCCCGGGAAAUGCGUGUGUCAGGGCGGAGUGAAGGCUCCUUGGGCUCCAUUCCAGAACGAGCUAGAGGCUCCUGAGAGAAAGGGGCCCAGCUCAGCUCCAAGCUUAGAACAAUGCCGAGCGCUCAACAUGCCGCAGGUGUGUGUGUGUUGGAAACUUCUUCCUGAAGUCUCUGAGGUCAGGGGCCAGGGCCCAGAGGGCUGGCUGCGUUUAUUGUCCAUUGUCCCAGGCUGGGACAGGAAGCACUUUCUGUUCCCAAUUGCCCGGGUGGAUUAAUUUACAGUGGGGAGCUCGGGGUUGGCGCGCCAGCACCUGUUUUCCCUCCGCGAG